UACGGGGGGGGCAAGCGUUGUUCGGAAUUACUGGGCGUAAAGGGCUCGUAGGCGGCCAACUAAGUCAGACGUGAAAUCCCUCGGCUUAACCGGGGAACUGCAUCUGAUACUGGAUGGCUUGAGUUCGGGAGAGGGAUGCAGAAUUCCAGGUGUAGCGGUGAAAUGCGUAGAUAUCUGGAGGAAUACCAGUGGCGAAGGCGGUCAACUGGCCUCAUAUUGACACUCAGACGCGAAGGCAUGGGUAGCGAACGGG
rnacentral:rRNA from 1 species